CAGCCGCCGCGGGAAUACGGAGGGCGCGAGCGUUACCCGGAUUUACUGGGCGUAAAGGGCGUGUAGGCGGCCUGGGGCGUCCCAUGUGAAAGGCCACGGCUCAACCGUGGAGGAGCGUGGGAUACGCUCAGGCUAGAGGGUGGGAGAGGGUGGUGGAAUUCCCGGAGUAGCGGUGAAAUGCGCAGAUACCGGGAGGAACGCCGAUGGCGAAGGCAGCCACCUGGUCCACUUCUUACGCUGAGGCGCGAAAGCGUGGGGAGCAAACCGGAUUAGAUACCCCAGUAGUCCCUGUCUCUUAUAC
rnacentral:rRNA from 1 species